rnacentral:rRNA from 1 species
AGUGAACGCUGGCGGUAGGCCUAACACAUGCAAGUCGAACGGCAGCACAGUAAGAGCUUGCUCUUACGGGUGGCGAGUGGCGGACGGGUGAGGAAUACAUCGGAAUCUACUUUUUCGUGGGGGAUAACGUAGGGAAACUUACGCUAAUACCGCAUACGACCUACGGGUGAAAGCAGGGGAUCUUCGGACCUUGCGCGAUUGAAUGAGCCGAUGUCGGAUUAGCUAGUUGGCGGGGUAAAGGCCCACCAAGGCGACGAUCCGUAGCUGGUCUGAGAGGAUGAUCAGCCACGCGGGAAAUGAGACACGGGCCAGACUCCUAGGGGAGGCAGCAGGGGGGAAUUUUGAAAAAGGGGGGCAAGCCUGAUCCAGCCAAACCGCGUGGGUGAAGAAGGCCUUCGGGUUGUAAAGCCCUUUUGUUGGAAAAAAAAAGCAGCAGGUUAAUACCCCGUUGUUCUGACGGUACCCAAAGAAUAAGCACCGGAUAACUUCGU